AAUGACAGAUAACGAUUUGAUAAAAUAGAUAAUGAUAACAGUAGAUUGUAUCUGUUAAAAAUGGACGUAGACUUCAGUUCAACAUUCCCAAGUAAAGAUAUGAACGACGAUGUGUCAGAGCCAGAGAACACAGGUGAUUUUGACCAACUCAUUGGAGACCAUGAGACUUUCGUUUCCGAAGAUGGAAAUCUGCAAACAGAUAACAAAAAUGCCAAAAAAAUCAAGGUCAUGUAAAGUUUAUACCCAUCCAAGAGUUAUCUUUCAAACACCUUCCAGAUGACCAUCGUGACCAAGAUGUGUAUGACUAUA
rnacentral:sRNA from 1 species